rnacentral:rRNA from 1 species
UACAGAGGUGGCAAGCGUUGUUCGGAAUUACUGGGCGUAAAGCGCGUGUAGGCGGCUCUUCAAGUCAGGCGUGAAAGCCCCGGGCUCAACUCGGGAACUGCGCUUGAUACUGUCGAGCUAGAGUGUGGAAGGGGCGAUUGGAAUUCCGUGUGUAGCGGUGAAAUGCGUAGAUAUACGGAGGAACACCGGUGGCGAAGGCGGCAUCCUGGACCGAGAUUGACGCUGAGGCGCGAAAGCGUGGGGAGCAAACAGG